CUCAUACUAUCACUCGUGUCCUUGUCUCCUUCGUGAUCUUCUUUUUGGCUGGCCAUUUUUUUUUUCUUUGACUCGCUCGUCUUGUGCCGUCGUGGCCGGAGUAUACCGUGUAGUUUCGGUGGCGGAUAUAUGCAUACUUUGGGCUUCUUCCGGGCACCCUCCUUUUAGAGAUAUGGUUUAAAGUGGCUGUGGGAUUUCAAUGGAUGCUGACUGUUUUUCAUAUGAUAGUUACACAUAAGCUUCUGAUUAGAAAGUGACUGACUUGUGUUGGAUUAGUUACUGGAAGUUUUUUUCUUCAUGUUUUUUCUAAUCAUAAUUUUCUUUAGUUGAUGAGCACCUUUUCUUCAAUUAGAACAACAUAGUGUUGUUGAAUCCUCAAGUGAAUUCCAGUUACCUAGAAAACUGAAUCUCAUUUAAAUGUCUGUAUAAUGUAGUUCUGUCAAAUUGGAAACUUUCUUUCGAUAGUAUUGAUUCUAAAGUCAAACCAUUGUGCUAAUAACUUACAGUCUAUGAACAAAUGACUGAAUAACUUGAGUGCCACGGGUAUUAACUGGAUAAGAAUAAUAUUAUGCGCACUAAAACAUGCAAUUUUCAGCGAUAUUCAUCAAGAACAACAACUUAUGUGUCUGCCUUAAUCCUCUCAAUGUGAGCUGCUGUCAGGUUAAUCCUCAAACUUCAUCACCACUCCAGUUGUUCCCACUCUGGAACUCCAACUCGGAAGCAUUGACCCAAGUUCCACUGCUGUGCUGUGAGAAAUAGACCUCCCACAGCUCACCAGUGAAAUUGCCGAUUGGGAUCCGGAAGUAAUUAUUGCUUUUAAAUCUUGCAUGGAAGCUUUUGUUUAAACCAUUUAUGCACUGGUCGCAAUUUUCCAAUGAAAGUGGGGCUUCCUGUUUCUUUGAUACAGGAUAUGUGUUCCAAGGAUAUGCAAACUUGUGACAGCUAUAGCCUCAUUUUCCCUCGUAGAAGUAUGAAAAAGACGGAAGGCCCAAGUGGUGAAGCUCAAAUUUUGUGUAGACAUUGUGCCAAGUUACUGAAAUCCAAACAAUACUGCGGAAUAUGCAAGAAAAUUUGGCAUCAUUCCGACGAUGCAGAUUGGGUAUGUUGCGAUGGUUGCAAUGUAUGGGUGCAUGCUGAGUGUGCCAAUAUCUCCAGCUGACUUUUAAAGGAGCUACGGCACUCUGAAUACUACUGCCCAGAUUGGAGGCCAAGACCACUUGCAAAACGCCAAACUUACAGAAAUUGGAGCCAAAAGAGAAGUUGGUGGAAAACAAGCAAGCUCCUUUGCCUGACAAGGUUUCUGUGGUGUGCAAUGGCAUGGAAGGGUCAUAUAUUCCAAAACUUCAUCUAAUUGUGUGCAAGUGUGGCUCAUGUGGUUUAAAGAUGCAGACACCUAGUGAAGGGGAACGGCACACAGGUUGCAGAGCCAAAAAGUGGAAGUACAGUGU